AUGGCGUCCAUGACGCUGGAGGACGUGAAGAACGAGACGGUGGACCUGGAGACCAUCCCGGUGCAGGAGGUGUUCACCCACCUCAAGUGCAGCAAGCAGGGGCUGACCGGCACCGAGGCCCAGAACCGGCUCACCAUCUUCGGGCCCAACAAGCUGGAGGAGAAGACGGAGAGCAAGCUGCUCAAGUUCCUCGGCUUCAUGUGGAACCCGCUGUCCUGGGUCAUGGAGGCCGCCGCCGUCAUGGCCAUCGUGCUCGCCAACGGCGGCGGCAAGCCCCCCGACUGGCAGGACUUCGUCGGCAUCGUCACCCUGCUCUUCAUCAACUCCACCAUCAGCUUCAUCGAGGAGAACAACGCCGGAAACGCCGCCGCCGCGCUCAUGGCCGGCCUGGCACCCAAGACCAAGUGCUUGAGGGACGGCAAGUGGAGCGAGAUGGACGCCUCCUUCCUCGUGCCCGGCGACAUUAUUAGUAUCAAGCUCGGGGACAUCAUCCCCGCCGACGCCCGGCUGCUCGAGGGCGACCCGCUCAAGGUCGACCAGGCCGCGCUCACCGGGGAGUCCAUGCCCGUGAACAAGCACGCCGGCCAGGGCGUGUUCUCCGGGUCCACGGUCAAGCAGGGCGAGAUCGAGGCCGUCGUCAUCGCCACCGGCGUGCACACCUUCUUCGGCAAGGCGGCGCACCUCGUCGACAGCACCAACAACGUCGGCCACUUCCAGCAGGUGCUCACCGCCAUCGGCAACUUCUGCAUCAUCUCCAUCGGCGCCGGGAUGCUGGUGGAGGUCGUCGUCAUGUACCCGAUCCAGCACCGCGCAUACCGCGACGGCAUCGACAACCUGCUCGUGCUCCUCAUCGGCGGCAUCCCCAUCGCCAUGCCCACCGUGCUGUCCGUCACCAUGGCCAUCGGCUCCCACCGGCUGUCGCAGCAGGGCGCCAUCACCAAGCGCAUGACCGCCAUCGAGGAGAUGGCCGGCAUGGACGUGCUGUGCAGCGACAAGACGGGCACGCUGACGCUCAACAAGCUCACCGUCGACAAGACGCUCAUCGAGGUGUACGGCAAAGGUGUAGACAAGGACAUGGUGCUCCUGUACGCCGCCAGGGCGUCCCGCGUGGAGAACCAGGACGCCAUCGACACGUGCAUCGUGGGCAUGCUCGCCGACCCCAAGGAGGCCCGCGCCGGCAUCCAGGAGGUGCACUUCCUCCCCUUCAACCCCGUGGAGAAGCGCACGGCCAUCACCUACAUCGACGGCAAGGGCGACUGGCACCGGAUCAGCAAGGGCGCGCCGGAGCAGAUCAUCGAGCUGUGCCGGAUGCCCAAGGAGGCCGAGAAGAGGGUCCACAGCCUGAUCGACCAGUACGCCGACCGGGGCCUCCGGUCGCUGGGGGUGUCGUACCAGGCGGUGCCGGCCAAGAACAAGGACAGCCCCGGCGAGCCGUGGCAGUUCGUGGGGCUGCUGCCGCUGUUCGACCCGCCCCGGCACGACAGCGCGGAGACGAUCCGGCGCGCGCUGCACCUGGGCGUGAACGUGAAGAUGAUCACCGGCGACCAGCUGGCGAUCGGCAAGGAGACGGCGCGGCGGCUGGGCAUGGGCACCAACAUGUACCCGUCCACCACGCUGCUGGGCGACAAGAGCACGGACAUGAGCAGCCUCCCCAUCGACGAGCUGAUCGAGAAGGCGGACGGGUUCGCCGGGGUGUUCCCGGAGCACAAGUACGAGAUCGUGAAGCGGCUGCAGGACCGGAAGCACAUCUGCGGCAUGACCGGGGACGGCGUGAACGACGCGCCGGCUCUGAAGAAGGCGGACAUCGGGAUCGCGGUGGACGACGCGACGGACGCGGCGCGGUCGGCGUCAGACAUCGUGCUGACGGAACCCGGGCUGAGCGUGAUCGUGAGCGCGGUGCUCACCAGCCGCGCCAUCUUCCAGCGGAUGAAGAACUACACCAUCUACGCCGUGUCCAUCACCAUCCGCAUCGUGCUGGGGUUCAUGCUGGUGGCGCUGCUGUGGAAGUUCGACUUCGCGCCCUUCAUGGUGCUCAUCAUCGCCAUCCUCAACGACGGCACCAUCAUGACCAUCUCCAAGGACCGCGUGAAGCCGUCGCCCACCCCCGACUCGUGGAAGCUCAAGGAGAUCUUCGCCACCGGCGUCGUCCUCGGCACCUACAUGGCCCUCGUCACCGUGCUCUUCUUCUACCUCGCGCACGACACCGAGUUCUUCCCGGAGACGUUCGGGGUGCGGUCGAUCCGGGAGAACGAGAAGGAGAUGAUGGCGGCGCUGUACCUGCAGGUGAGCAUCAUCAGCCAGGCGCUCAUCUUCGUGACGCGGUCGCGGAGCUGGUCGUUCGUGGAGCGGCCGGGGGCGCUGCUGGUGAUCGCCUUCUUCGUGGCGCAGCUGAUCGCGACGUGCAUCGCCGUGUACGCCAACUGGGAGUUCUGCAAGAUGCAGGGGAUCGGGUGGGGGUGGGGGCUCUCCAUCUGGGCCUUCACUGUCGUCACCUACAUCCCGCUCGACAUCCUCAAGUUCAUCAUCCGCUACGCCCUCAGCGGCAGGGCCUGGAACAACAUCAACAACAAGGCAAGCCACUCCCAUCUCUCCUCCAUUGCCCACCUCCAUUUCUAA
rnacentral:rRNA from 1 species